rnacentral:rRNA from 1 species
CAGUGUGACUCGUCACACUAUCAUUAACUGAAUCCAUAGGUUAAUGAGGCGAACCGGGGGAACUGAAACAUCUAAGUACCCCGAGGAAAAGAAAUCAACCGAGAUUCCCCCAGUAGCGGCGAGCGAACGGGGAGGAGCCCAGAGCCUGAAUCAGCAUGUGUGUUAGUGGAAGCGUCUGGAAAGGCGCGCGAUACAGGGUGACAGCCCCGUACACAAAAGCGCAUGUGCUGUGAGCUCGAUGAGUAGGGCGGGACACGUGGUAUCCUGUCUGAAUAUGGGGGGACCAUCCUCCAAGGCUAAAUACUCCUGACUGACCGAUAGUGAACCAGUACCGUGAGGGAAAGGCGAAAAGAACCCCGGCGAGGGGAGUGAAAAAGAACCUGAAACCGUGUACGUACAAGCAGUGGGAGCACAGGUUUACCUG